rnacentral:rRNA from 1 species
GACGAACGCUGGCGGCGUGCUUAACACAUGCAAGUCGAGCGGUAAGGCCCUUUCGGGGGUACACGAGCGGCGAACGGGUGAGUAACACGUGGGUGACCUGCCCUCAGCUCUGGGAUAAGCCCGGGAAACUGGGUCUAAUACCGGAUAUGACUCCAUGACGCAUGUUGUGGGGUGGAAAGCCUUGUGCGGCUGAGGAUGGGCCCGCGGCCUAUCAGCUUGUUGGUGGGGUGAUGGCCUACCAAGGCGACGACGGGUAGCCGGCCUGAGAGGGCGACCGGCCACACUGGGACUGAGAUACGGCCCAGACUCCUACGGGAGGCAGCAGUGGGGAAUCUUGCGCAAUGGGCGAAAGCCUGACGCAGCGACGCCGCGUGAGGGAUGACGGCCUGG